rnacentral:rRNA from 1 species
AACGUAGGUGGCGAGCGUUAUCCGGAUUUACUGGGCGUAAAGCGUGCGCAGGCGGUGAUGUAAGACAGGUGUGAAAUCCCCGGGCUUAACCUGGGAACUGCAUUUGUGACUGCAUCGCUGGAGUGCGGCAGAGGGGGAUGGAAUUCCGCGUGUAGCAGUGAAAUGCGUAGAUAUGCGGAGGAACACCGAUGGCGAAGGCAGCCCCCUGGGCUAGCACUGACGCUCAGGCACGAAAGCGUGGGGAGCAAACAGG